CGUAGGGUCCGAGCGUUGUCCGGAAUUAUUGGGCGUAAAGGGCUUGUAGGCGGUCAGUCGCGUCGGAAGUGAAACUCAGGGCUUAACCCUGAGCCUGCUUCCGAUACGGGCUGACUAGAGGGAUGCAGGGGAGAACGGAAUUCCUGGUGGAGCGGUGGAAUGCGCAGAUAUCAGGAGGAACACCGGUGGCGAAGGCGGUUCUCUGGGCAUCACCUGACGCUGAGAAGCGAAAGCGUGGGGAGCAAACAGGCUU
rnacentral:rRNA from 1 species